AACGAACGCUGGCGGCGUGGAUAAGACAUGCAAGUCGAACGAGAGAAUUGCUAGCUUGCUAAUAAUUCUCUAGUGGCGCACGGGUGAGUAACACGUGAGUAACCUGCCCCCGAGAGCGGGAUAGCCCUGGGAAACUGGGAUUAAUACCGCAUAGUAUCGAAAGAUUAAAGCAGCAAUGCGCUUGGGGAUGGGCUCGCGGCCUAUUAGUUAGUUGGUGAGGUAACGGCUCACCAAGGCGAUGACGGGUAGCCGGUCUGAGAGGAUGUCCGGCCACACUGGAACUGAGACACGGUCCAGACACCUACGGGUGGCAGCAGUCGAGAAUCAUUCACAAUGGGGGAAACCCUGAUGGUGCGACGCCGCGUGGGGGAAUGAAGGUCUUCGGAUUGUAAACCCCUGACAUGUGGGAGCAAAUUAAAAAGAUAGUACCACAAGAGGAAGAGACGGCUAACUCUGUGCCAGCAGCCGCGGUAAUACAGAGGUCUCAAGCGUUGUUCGGAAUCACUGGGCGUAAAGCGUGCGUAGGCUGUUUCGUAAGUCGUGUGUGAAAGGCGCGGGCUCAACCCGCGGACGGCACAUGAUACUGCGAGACUAGAGUAAUGGAGGGGGAACCGGAAUUCUCGGUGUAGCAGUGAAAUGCGUAGAUAUCGAGAGGAACACUCGUGGCGAAGGCGGGUUCCUGGACAUUAACUGACGCUGAGGCA
rnacentral:rRNA from 1 species